UACGGGAGGCGACAGUAGGGAAUCUUGCGCAAUGGGCGAAAGCCUGACGCAGCGACGCCGCGUGAGGGAUGAAGGCCUUUGGGUCGUAAACCUCUGUCGGAGGGGAAGAAAUUUUGACGGUACCCUCCAAGGAAGCCCCGGCUAACCUACGUGCCAGCAGCCGCGGUAAUA
rnacentral:rRNA from 1 species